CUUGAACUUCGGUUUGGGUGGCGGACGGGUGAGUAACGCGUAAAGAACUUGCCUCACAGUUAGGGACAACAUUUGGAAACGAAUGCUAAUACCUGAUAUUAUGAUUUUAGGGCAUCCUAAGAUUAUGAAAGCUAUAUGCGCUGUGAGAGAGCUUUGCGUCCCAUUAGCUAGUUGGAGAGGUAACGGCUCACCAAGGCGAUGAUGGGUAGCCGGCCUGAGAGGGUGAACGGCCACAAGGGGACUGAGACACGGCCCUUACUCCUACGGGAGGCAGCAGUGGGGAAUAUUGGACAAUGGACCAAAAGUCUGAUCCAGCAAUUCUGUGUGCACGAUGACGUUUUUCGGAAUGUAAAGUGCUUUCAGUUGGGAAGAAAAAAAUGACGGUACCAACAGAAGAAGUGACGGCUAAAUACGGGCCAGCAGGCGCGGUAAUACGUAUGUCACAAGCGUUAUCCGGAUUUAUUGGGCGUAAAGCGCGUCUAGGUGGUUAUGUAAGUCUGAUGUGAAAAUGCAGGGCUCAACUCUGUAUUGCGUUGGAAACUGCAUGACUAGAGUACUGGAGAGGUAAGCGGAACUACAAGUGUAGAGGUGAAAUUCGUAGAUAUUUGUAGGAAUGCCGAUGGGGAAGCCAGCUUACUGGACAGAUACUGACGCUAAAGCGCGAAAGCGUGGGUAGCAAACAGGAUUAGAUACCUGGUAGUCCACGCCGUAAACGAUGAUUACUAGGUGUUGGGGGUCGAACCUCAGCGCCCAA
rnacentral:rRNA from 1 species